rnacentral:rRNA from 1 species
CAGUAGUCACGGUAAUACGGAGGGUGCAAGCGUUAAUCGGAAUUACUGGGCGUAAAGCGCACGCAGGCGGUCUGACAAGUCAGAUGUGAAAUCCCCGGGCUUAACCUGGGAACUGCAUUUGAAACUGUCAGGCUGGAGUCUUGUAGAGGGGGGUGGAAUUCCAGGUGUAGCGGUGAAAUGCGUAGAGAUCUGGAGGAAUACCGGUGGCGAAGGCGGCCCCCUGGACAAAGACUGACGCUCAGGUGCGAAAGCGUGGGGAGCAAACAGGAUUAGAUACCCGUGUAGUCCCUGUCUCUUAUAA